AUCGAGACACAAAGGUAUAUGCCUUGCUCAGCACCGGUCCUUAGAACGAUUAAGGAACCCAAGAUUGUUGUGCAGAGUUCAUGUGAUGCAACACGUAUAAGUGAUGGCUACAGGUGGCGCAAGUAUGGAUAAAAAUUUGUCAAAGGAAAUCCUAAUCCCAGUGAUCGAAGAAUUAGGUGGCUCCUCAAGUGCCUUGAAGGAGUAUUUGGGUACCCACGUGACAUUACUGGAUCCAAAUGGUGACACAUACUUGUGUAUAUAUCCUGACACCCAAACUCAAGAGUAUUGCAUUGAUUCUCAGACCACUUGUCCACCACUUGUUGUUCUUGCUAGUACUCCACCGACUUUAGCUCAUUAUUCUCCGGAUGCUCAGGGUUCUACGUCUGCUGCUUAAUGUUCUCCUUAGAAUAUUUGGACACAAAGCCCUCUUGCUAGUCGAUUAGGAGGCGUGCUGGGGAGCAUGCUGGGGGGCGUCUUAGGGAGCUUUACACAGUAGGGCAAUAACGAGGAGGACAUCCACAAAGCUUUUGCUGAUUAUAUUCGAUUAAAUCAGCGUGACUUGUACUUUUAAUUAACAUACUUAAGACAUUUGUAUAGUUCAGAUAUCCUCUUAUUGUAUUUUGAUUCUUGUUAUAUAUUUGGUACUUGAGUAAUUUAUAACUUGUUGUAUUUUGA